GGUUAUGUGGUGUAGGGGUAGCAUGUAUCGUUGUGGUCAUCAGACUAGCAACUUCCGAUCCGACCCUGGUUCGAUUCCAGGCAUAGCCA
rnacentral:tRNA from 1 species